GAUGAACGCUGGCGGCGUGCCUAAUACAUGCAAGUCGAGCGAAUGGAUUAAGAGCUUGCUCUUAUGAAGUUAGCGGCGGACGGGUGAGUAACACGUGGGUAACCUGCCCAUAAGACUGGGAUAACUCCGGGAAACCGGGGCUAAUACCGGAUAACAUUUUGAACCGCAUGGUUCGAAAUUGAAAGGCGGCUUCGGCUGUCACUUAUGGAUGGAACCGCGUCGCAUUAGCGUAGUUGGUGAGGUAACGGCUCACCAAGGCAACGAUGCGUAGCCGACCUGGGAGGGUGGUCGGCCACACGGGGACGGAGACACGGCCCAGACUCCUACGUGAGGCAGCAGUAGGGAAUCGUCCGCAAUGGACGAAAGUCUGACGGAGCAACGCCGCGUGAGUGAUGAAGUCUUUCGGGUCGUAAAACUCUGUUGUUAGGGAAGAACAAGUGCUAGUUGAAUAAGCUGGCACCUUGACGGUACCUAACCAGAAAGCCACGGCUAACUACGUGCCAGCCGCCGCGGUAA
rnacentral:rRNA from 1 species